CCUACGGGAGGCUGCAGUGGGGAAUAUUGGGCAAUGGGCGCAAGCCUGACCCAGCCACGCCGCGUGAAGGAAGAAGGCUUUCGGGUUUUAAACUUCUUUUCUCAGGGACGAAGCAAGUGACGGUACCUGAGGAAUGAGACACGGCUAACUACGUGCAAGCAGCCGCGGUAAUACGUAGGUGGCAAGAGUUAUCCGGAUUUACUGGGUGUAAAGGGCGUGUAGGCGGGGACGUCAGUCAGAUGUGAAAACCACGGGCUCAACCUGUGGCCUGCAGUUGAAACUGUGUUUCUUGAGUACUGGAGAGGCAGACGGAAUUCCUGGUGUAGCGGUGAAAUGCGUAGAUAUUAGGAGGAACACCAGUGGCGAAGGCGGUCUGCUGGACAGCAACUGACGCUGAGGCGCGAAAGCGUGGGGAGCAAACAGGAUUAGAUACCCGAGUAGUC
rnacentral:rRNA from 1 species